AGAGUUUGAUCAUGGCUCAGAUUGAACGCUGGCGGUAUGCUUAACACAUGCAAGUCGAACGGUAGCAGGCCUUCGGGCGCUGACGAGUGGCGGACGGGUGAGUAACGCGUAGGAAUCUGCCUCAUAGUGGGGGACAACGUGGGGAAGCUCACGCUAAUACCGCAUACGCCCUACGGGGGAAAGCGGGGGAUCUUCGGACCUCGCGCUAUGAGAUGAGCCUGCGUUAGAUUAGCUGGUUGGUGGGGUAAAGGCCUACCAAGGCGACGAUCUAUAGCUGGUCUGAGAGGACGAUCAGCCACACUGGGACUGAGACACGGCCCAGACUCCUACGGGAGGCAGCAGUGGGGAAUAUUGGACAAUGGGCGCAAGCCUGAUCCAGCAAUACCGCGUGUGUGAAGAAGGCCCUAGGGUUGUAAAGCACUUUCAAUGGGGAGGAAAACCUGUCGGUCAAUACCCGGCAGCUUGACAUUACCUAUAGAAGAAGCACCGGCUAACUCCGUGCCAGCAGCCGCGGUAAUACGGAGGGUGCGAGCGUUAAUCGGAAUUACUGGGCGUAAAGCGUGCGUAGGCGGUUAAUUAAGUCAGAUGUGAAAGCCCCGGGCUUAACCUGGGAACGGCAUUUGAUACUGGCUAACUAGAGUUUAAUAGAGGGGAGUGGAAUUUCAGGUGUAGCGGUGAAAUGCGUAGAUAUCUGAAGGAACACCAGUGGCGAAGGCGACUCCCUGGAUUAAAACUGACGCUGAGGUACGAAAGCGUGGGUAGCAAACAGGAUUAGAUACCCUAGUAGUCC
rnacentral:rRNA from 1 species